rnacentral:rRNA from 1 species
UACGUAGGGGGCGAGCGUUGUCCGGAAUCAUUGGGCGUAAAGCGCGUGUAGGCGGCCCGGUAAGUCCGCUGUGAAAGUCCAGGGCUCAACCCUGGGAUGCCGGUGGAUACUGUCGGGCUCGAGUCCGGAAGAGGCGAGUGGAAUUCCUGGUGUAGCGGUGAAAUGCGCAGAUAUCAGGAAGAACAUCUAUGGCGAAGGCAGCUCUCUGGGACGGUACUGACGCUGAGACGCGAAAGCGUGGGGAGCGAACAGG